GCCGGUCCUGGGCCAAGCCCAAUGAAACAUUCGCCUUGGGCCCCAAAAAUUUUUGGAAAUUUUUUUAUGUAAAUAGACCCCUAAUUUGUAAAAAAAAAAUAUUUUAGGUCUCCAAAUUUUUGAAAUCUUUACUAAAUGGUCUUGGGCCUCCAAACUCUCGGGGUUGGCCCUGACUAUAUGUCUUUGUGUGUGUGUGGGGGGGGUUUUGAUUCAGAUUUGUUUUUGUUCUUGGUGGAGGAAGAUGGAGAAGGAGCUUGACGGAGGAGGAUGUAUACGAAGCUUGACGGAGGAGGCUCCUCACUGUGACUUCUCCGACGACAAGCCCUUUGCCCGAGCUUGCUCCCCUGAAUUCACCAUCCAGAGCGACGACAAGCAUGGACGUGGAGGAUGAUUCUUCGUGUAUCGUGGUACGCCACACCAUGAUCCUUAUAUUGAGUGGUUGAAGGAUGGUUCUAUGUUUGUUACUCAAGCAGUUGUUGUCAUUUGUGAGGCCAAGCUCAAAAGCUCAUAUGUAAUAUUGAAUAAGAGUAUGGUUCUAUGAACAGCAAGCAAAAGUAGAAUAAGAUUAUGGUUCUAUGUUUGUAAAAUCAGUAAUAAUGUUUUCCAAGAUGUAAUAUAUGUGUUUUAUACCUUUACAAAUCAAAGAAAUAAGAAACUGCAAUGGCUUUCAGAUUCAAAACAUGACGUUUAUUGUGUAUUUCUUCUCAUAUUUGGAUCUCCCAUACUCUGCAAAAAAUAUAUGUUGGCUGAUCAUUUUUAACUUUUUAAGAAGUAAAACCAACUAAGUUUCUAAUUAUAAACAUGUAACACUUUUAAUGAGUACUUGAUAUUAUUGAAGAUAUUGAUACAAUUUCAAUAGCAAAAUACAAUAACACAAAAAAAAUUAGUCAAAUUUACUACAAGUAACUAAGGGAGAAACUUAUAAAGAAAACUUAGUCAAAUUCACAAAAGAUCAAACAUUACAUUAGUUCAAACAUAUAACUCAAAUUUUAAGUGAAAAUUGAAAUUUUAAAUUUCAUGAAAGUUAAAAAGUAUAUCUUAUGUUCUAAGAAGACACGUAAAACCAUAUGACUUGAUAUUCUUGAAGUUACUUAACACUUUUGAAAGUUUAAAAAAUAUAUAUGAAAGUUGAAAAUACAAGUUUAAAAAAAACUAACGUAGAAGACUUCUGGGGAAAUCUUAUCUCAUUAGCUUGAAACAUUAAUAAGUAUGAAUGUUAUUAACUUCAUAAUUAUUACCAAUUAAGUUAUGAAUUUCAUUCAGGAGUCCUAAUAUUGACUAAUAUAGAUGAAUUAACAAGAAAAUGUUGCAAAAGGAGUAAGGGUCUCUUUCUAUCCCAGAGAGAGAAAACUCUCUUUUUCCUCCUUCUUAUCAAUUCUAAAUCUUUCGGAGGAAAAGAUUUUUGUUUAUGUAUGUUUUUGUUGUAAAGCUUCGAUCGUGAGAUCGAUUAUCUACUUUGCUAGGCGAUUUUCUCUUUCGUUUUAGACGAUUUUGUUGUGGGUUUCAAAUCAAAACGGGUUUUUCUUCAUGUUUCAACCUUACCGAUUUGUUUUGAUUCAAUAAAAUUCCGGUUAGCGGAUCCUUUUUGCUUCUCUUCCCUGUGUUUAUGGUUAUACCGAUCGAUCUUAGAAAUUUCUUAUUUGUAUCAGCUGGUCAAGCUUUGUUUCUUUAUUGGGUGAGGAAUCAAUCUUCCCUACUGUCAAGGUGAAGUCUCCUCUAAGAUAAAGAAAGAAGACGAUUGAUGAAGGGAUAAAGAGUUAGCAAGGAUUUAGAUUAGUCAAGAGUCUUUUAUGGAGGCGUUUUGGCAAGGUCAUGUUGCUGUUUCUUUUGAAGCUUCUCAUGGAUUCACCUCUGGCGGUAUGAAGAAGAAUCUCUAUGGUCAUCGGCGAUUAAGGGAUGGAGGAGCAAGCAAGUGAAUUGGACUGAGCGGUGAAGAGGCCCGGUGGUUCUUAGACCGACAUGUAGCCGGUGGUGGCAUCGGUUCUCUCUUCUCGAUUUCCAGAAAGGACGAGCACCACAUCACCUAAUAUGUGUCCCACAUGCGGAAUUUUGUUUAUCAUAUUAAGGACUGUAAACGUAGGAUUUGGGCUUUGUUGGGCUUCAAGAGUUUUGCAAAUUGAAAUGAGUUCAAAUUA